AUUCUUUCGCUAAAAAAAGGCGCUAACCACUAACGCCGUCGUGUAAGCUAUCGUUGUUCUCGUCGUUGGUUCUUUUCGCGGAGGAGCUAAGCGAAACCCUAAUUUAGUAAGAGGGACAGUCUAGUGAAGAGCGACAGGGACAGGUCCGAGAAUGACAAUCAAACCUUUGGAGUCGCUACCUCCUACAGAAACCUUUGAAAUGGAGAGUGGUCUGAAGCUCGUACCGCGUCUCAAACUCAAUUUCACAGUCUAUCCUUUAACCCCUUCGGUGACUAAAUCCCUUGAUGAGUGGAAGUUGAAGCGAGCUCUCAUUGAAUUUCUCAAGUCUUCUUUUUCAGCUCCAGUCAUAGUGCCUGAGGAGGAUUUGGUGAUCAAACGUAUUAAACAGCUUAAGACACGGAAGUGCGGAGACCCACUUGCUCGCGGUACUCUCUUCGUGAGAGAUCUUGCCUUUUUGAAGACUGCUAACAAGAGAUAUGAGGAAGAAGAAGAGGAAGUCACCGCGUUGGAGAAGAAGUUUUUGGAUUGGAGGCAAUUACUGGUUGAGAAAUUGGAUGGGAUUGAGCUGAAUCUUGAGGGUUUCAAAUUCAAACUCACUGUUUUUAUACCGGAAUGUGAUAAUUUUGAGCAAAUGAAGAGAAAUUGGGAGGAGUUUUACGCUUUUGGGAAUCAGGGAUAUUCGAGAAGUGGAAGCCAAGGACCUGAUACCAUUACCUUGAGAGGAGCACCAUCAAGGUGGUUUGCCGAGCCUUGGGUUUCGUCUAAGCCAUCUAUGUUGGUCACACAUACCAUUUUUUCUACAUUUGGAAGCAUAAGGAACCUAAAUAUUGCUGUGGACGAUGAUUUUGGCAAGGAUGGCAAUGAGGAUGGAGAAGACAUAAUUUCAGGUUUACACUGUAAAAUAACUGUUCAGUUCGAGAAGCACAGGGACUUCUAUAAUGCUCUAAAGGUGCUGUCUGGUCGCUCAUUGCAGAAGCAAGGAUCUCGUCUCUGGGCUGAUUACGAGGUCACCUGGGAGAAGGAUGGUUUUACCCAAUACUCAAGAAUUCAAACAUCAGGUAAUGGCAGCAGAAUGAAGGAAAUAUCAGCAAGGCAAUUUAAGAAUGAGGCCUUAGGACGACAACGAUAUUCGGGCUCCAUUCCUGAUGAUUCACGGCGCAAGAGGUUCAAGGAAUAGGAGAAGUUGACUCAGCAGGCUGCCUCAGUGAAAGGUUGAAGCUUGCUCCCGUCAUUAUUUGCAGCUUCUUUUACAAGCGCAAAUAGUUUUCUGCAAAUAGUGACGACCAUCCUUCUGUUCCUCGCUCAAAAUUCUACAAUUUGAUGCUCUCCUCAUAUUACAGGAUGCUGUAUUGCAUCAUCUAUGUCCUAAUAUCUUUUCUCUCUCCCACAGGCCCACAUAUAUAAUCCCCUGGCCUCUGAAAAUUUUGUAUAAAUGCCUAAGAAACCGGCUGGAGCUAACAUAUUUAUCAGAGAGGAGGUAAUGUUUACACUUAUUCCCGAGCAAUUAAGAUAUUAUACGUCAAUUAUAUAAUUAAUAGAUCGUUAUGAUAAAAUGCGACUGAACAACAAUGAUGACCUAAGUGGGUUGCCUUAGGAGGCCAAAAAGUAAACCGUGGUUAGUUCGGAUAAUGUGAUGGUGGCUACUCAUUAUACUUGAUAUCCUGAGUUCUUGACUUGCACUACUGUGGAGUCGAUCAGUUGCCUUACUAUGAAUUGAAAUGAAUGAGCCCAUUCAGAAUAUGAGACAGACCAGUUGAUCGAACAAGUACCACAUCAAAUCAUGAUUAAUUCGAACAAAGAUGGCUACUUAGGAUAGUAAAUAUUCCUAGAAUGAACACUUUCAGCAUUGACAUGUGCGGUCUGUUAUCAGGUACAUAAACAAAAACUUUAGAAAAUGUAGGUGAGGUGAAGUAAAGUAUUUCAGGAGACUAGGUGAGCUGUCUGUAACACUAUUAUUAGCUAUGGAAUUGAAUUAUUUUGGAGUAUUAUAUUUGAUAGGAGGAUGAUGGGUCGUAAAUGGUUUGUGAUA